rnacentral:rRNA from 1 species
AUUGAACGCUGGCGGCAGGCCUAACACAUGCAAGUCGAACGGUAACAGGAAACAGCUUGCUGUUUCGCUGACGAGUGGCGGACGGGUGAGUAAUGUUUGGGAAACUGCCUGAUGGAGGGGGAUAACUACUGGAAACGGUAGCUAAUACCGCAUAACGUCGCAAGACCAAAGAGGGGGACCCUCGGGCCUCUUGCCAUCGGAUGUGCCCAGAUGGGAUUAGCUUGUUGGUGGGGUAACGGCUCACCAAGGCGACGAUCCCUAGCUGGUCUGAGAGGAUGACCAGCCACACUGGAACUGAGACACGGUCCAGACUCCUACGGGAGGCAGCAGUGGGGAAUAUUGCACAAUGGGCGCAAGCCUGAUGCAGCCAUGCCGCGUGUAUGAAGAAGGCCUUCGGGUUGUAAAGUACUUUCAGCGGGGAGGAAGGGAGUAAAGUUAAUACCUUUGCUCAUUGACGUUACCCGCAGAAGAAGCACCGGCUAACUCCGUG